AGUCAGAAGCUUAACUGACUGAGCCACCCAGGCGCCCCAAAACAAAUCUGAAGUUUCAAAAGUGAAUCAUUCAAGAAAAAUAUGAUGUAAAUAAAAGGACGGGAGGUCUUCAGUGUUAGCAAAAAGACUGAGGGUGGUUCUAGAACGCCUAAUGUCUGGAAGGCACUGCUUUAACACUUGGGAGUGAGUUCGGUUGGAAUUCCAGACAUUAUGAAGGAGCUCCCGCAGAGAAGACGCUAAGUUUUUACAAAAUGUCUUGAGUCCAGUGUAAGACAAAGAUCUAGGGGCAAACAAGGGUGGCUACAGAUUGGUUUGAACUGUUAGGUGUCCAGGAAAAUUCGGGAAUAGAGAAGUAAAUGCAACCUACUUAGUGCUCCCCCACGAUGAUGUCUGGAUCUCCCAUAAAAGCAAAAUGGGACAAAAAGAACUUGUGGACCUGACGCACGGCAAGUGACCUCACCACAGGCUUUGGAAGAAACCAUUUCGAUCUCUACACCCUGCGUGGGGCUCGCACUCACAACCCUGAGAUGCAGGGGUGCAGUCUCCACCAACUGAGCCAGCCGGGCGCCCCCUUACGCUGCUCUCCGCGGAGUCCUAGAAGUGGGGGUGCUGCGUCAAAGGAACACUGUUACAGUUACGAGCCCGUGGUGAGACGUCCCUCGUGGGGUAUUCGACCCAGCCAGGCCCCCUCUCCCAGCCCCGGCCUCCUCUGCCCUCUGCCAGCUGCUGUUGCCACAUGACAAGAAAGACGGGCAUUCUUCAGGGAGAACUAGCGAACUUGCCCCUGACCGCGACAGCGCACAGGAAUGCACGCGUGCCCCCAAGACAGGGAGGAGGUCCAGCAGGUCCCCGGGGAGAGGGUGCGCCGAGGGGUCACCCAAGUGAUUCUUCAUGAUUAAAGGUCGAGCUGCAGUUUA